AUGAAAACAGAAUUCCACCAGGGUGUGGGAUGGGCGAUGGUAGACUUGGAGGCACUCUGAGCUCACUGGAUCAGGUAAACAGAAGUAGGCAUCAAACCCAACACUGUUGCCGAGGUCAAAAGGUGCUUGCUAACAGGAACCUGGUGUGACUUUCCUUGGGAGGUCCGGCUAGCCACUGUCCAAUGCCGAUGUGGAUGCUUGGAGCCAACCAUCACACUGAGUUCAGGAAAUCUGUUGGAGGAGCUGACAGAGGAGUGGAUGAAGAUUGCAACCCCAUUGGAAGAACAACAUAGGCUGGCCUGAACACACAGUUCUCCCAGAGACUAUACCAUCAACCAAGGAGUAUACCUGGAGGGAUCCAUGGCUCCAGACACAUAUGUAGCAGAAAAUGGCUUU
rnacentral:lncRNA from 1 species